UACGGGGGGAGCAAGCGUUGUUCGGAUUUACUGGGCGUAAAGGGCGCGUAGGCGGCCACCGCAAGUCGAUUGUGAAAUCUCCGGGCUUAACCCGGAAAGGUCAGCCGAUACUGCGGGGCUAGAGUGCAGAAGGGGCAACUGGAAUUCUCGGUGUAGCGGUGAAAUGCGUAGAUAUCGAGAGGAACACCUGCGGCGAAGGCGGGUUGCUGGGCCGACACUGACGCUGAUGCGCGAAAGCCAGGGGAGCGAACGGG
rnacentral:rRNA from 1 species